rnacentral:rRNA from 1 species
GAAAGGCGCGCGAUACAGGGUGACAGCCCCGUACACAAAAGCGUAUGUGCUGUGAGCUCGAUGAGUAGGGCGGGACACGUGGUAUCCUGUCUGAAUAUGGGGGGACCAUCCUCCAAGGCUAAAUACUCCUGACUGACCGAUAGUGAACCAGUACCGUGAGGGAAAGGCGAAAAGAACCCCGGCGAGGGGAGUGAAAAAGAACCUGAAACCGUGUACGUACAAGCAGUGGGAGCACAGGUUUACCUGUGUGACUGCGUACCUUUUGUAUAAUGGGUCAGCGACUUAUAUUCUGUAGCAAGGUUAACCGAAUAGGGGAGCCGGAGGGAAACCGAGUCUUAACCGGGCGUUAAGUUGCAGGGUAUAGACCCGAAACCCGGUGAUCUAGCCAUGGGCAGGUUGAAGGUUGGGUAACACUAACUGGAGGACCGAACCGACUAAUGUUGAAAAAUUAGCGGAUGACCUGUGGCUGGGGGUGAAAGGCCAAUCAAACCGGGAGAUAGCUGGUUCUCCCCGAAAGCUAUUUAGGUAGCGCCUCGUGAAUUCAUCUCCGGGGGUAGAGCACUGUUUCGGCUAGGGGGCCAUCCCGGCUUACCAACCCGAUGCAAACUGCGAAUACCGGAGAAUGUUAUCACGGGAGACACACGGCGGGUGCUAACGUCCGUCGUGAAGAGGGAAACAACCCAGACCGCCAGCUAAGGUCCCAAAGUCAUGGUUAAGUGGGAAACGAUGUGGGAAGGCCCAGACAGCCAGGAUGUUGGCUUAGAAGCAGCCAUCAUUUAAAGAAAGCGUAAUAGCUCACUGGUCGAGUCGGCCUGCGCGGAAGAUGUAA